ACAUUAAUAUGAAAAGCACCCACGACUAUGAGAAAGUUUUAUACAGUGUGAAUUUCUGGAUACAAGCAAUUCUUAUCAAACUCCUACCUAGUUUCUUACUGACCAUCUUCAGCAUCCUUUUAGUCAACACAAUGAGACGCGCCGAGAGGCGCAGAAAGAGGUUGCUGAAUAACGUCCCGAUGUCGGAAGAAAACGGCGCGACCAGCACAAGUAGCACGACUGUGUCGUCUCGAAAGCAGAAAAAGAGUCGAAGCAACCGAACGACUAAGAUGCUUUUAGCAGUGGUUAUAUUGUUCUUACUAACUGAAACUCCCCAGGGGGUUCUAAGUGUAAUGGGGGGUCUGGACGGAAGCUUUUUCGAGUAUAUUUAUAUGCCUUUAGGAGACCUGCUGGUAUCAUCACACUGAUAAACAAUGGAAUAAAUUUUGUUUUUAUACUGCACGAUGAGCAAGCAGUUCAGAGACACAUUCUUAAAAUUGUUCCUGAAAAACGUUCUCCAUCAGGAGUAUCGACGAACAAAGAACACUUAUACCACAGCCCAAGCUACUGUUGUGUAACUAAACGAUUCGGACGUAUAGAGUUAAUAAGCGAUGACUUGUAUGAAACAAAACGGUGAGUCCAUAUAUUGUCACACUGGCAUGGCGAGGGAAACAAUGUACAAUUAUAUUUUUGUUCAUUGUACAUAAAGCUUUUGUUGUGUUAAUAGAAUUUUCAAAAUGCUCAAAUAUCAUGACAUGUUGUUUUGUCAUGCAUAUUUGCAUGACACGUGAGUAAAUGUAUAUAGUUUUAAAGUGAAUGAGUUUCAUUAUAUGUUCAAAAUAAGUGUAAGAUUUUUCUACAUUAAUGAAUUGCUAAAGGAAUAAUUGCUGAUAAUUUAUUUGCUUUACUUAUAAUUACCACUCUCGAUGGGAGAUGUUUUUCUCUAAAAUGUUAAAUUAUUAUUAUUUUUGUAGAAUCAGUUCUAGAAACUUAAUAUUUUGUUUCAAAGAGGAACGCAGUUAAUUAAAAUCUAUAAGAGCCUUCCACAGCCCAGACCAAAAAAAUCCGAUCUUUGUUCUUUUUAAUACAUUUUGUCAAAAGUUACUUCUUUUAAUUAAGAUCAAAUGUGCUCUGAUAUUUCAAUUUCCCGUAACCCAAAUUUUUGUCACAGGCCCCUGGUGUAAUUAAUUUUGUCAAGACUUGAUUGAAAAGAUUUUAAUGUUUUUUCUCGAUCCGCAAUCAUCUGUUAUGUGUUUUAGAUCUUUUUCCCCGUAUGUGAGAAUAUUUUGUUCUUCUAAUUAAACGGGGAACAAUCUUGAGUCACGCUAAUACAUGUCUGGGUUGUUAUUUUUGUUUCUCAAGUUUUAACUAUUUUCUUUCUAGAAUGAAUGUGUUUACUAUAGAUUAAGUAUAAUUGUAUAUUUUGACAGAGAGUGUGACAUAAAUGCAUCUAUAUUGCAAUCAUUUCAUUGUAAUAGACUGUUAUCGUACAUACUUAUUUUAAUAACGUUGUCAAUGUAUGAAUUUUUAUUUUGAAUAAAAAUCAAUUUGUUAUC
rnacentral:sRNA from 1 species